rnacentral:lncRNA from 1 species
AUAUAAUGAAACAAUGCAAGUUAAAACUACAAGAAUUGGAAUGAAACUAUAUCAUUUAUAUAAUGAAACAAUGCAUGUUAAAACUACAACAAUUGGAAUGAAACUAUAACAUUUAUAUAAUGAAACAAUCACUAUUACGACAUCGUCGACGCCUGCUCCGCCACGGUCAAAGUCACCGGCGACUGCCACAAGCCGUGCACCGUCUUCAAAUUGCCAGAGAAAAUUGCAGGCGACAGUGAAAACGAAGAAGCAGGAGAAGCUUCAAGAAGAAUCAUGAGAUCUGCAGGCUGUGCGCGGAGGCGGUGAAUGACGAGAUCGUGAGAUCGAAGAAGAGAAUCAGAAGCGAAGAAGCCGUGAAUUUCAAUGCUCUGGGCAAAAGCUAAUAGCAAUCUUUGCCGGCUCCAACUCCGGGAAAAGCAAAACAAAACAUAAAGACAAAAAGUAAAAUAGCCUAUAGCCUCGUAUCUGCCUCACAACUCUCAGAACAUAUAAAAUAUGACUUAAGGAACAAAAUAAGAAAAGUGGUCGCAUAGGGAGUCGGCUUGGAUCAGUGUACUCGCUGGAAAACUCAAAGUGUCGAAGAGCUCAUCCUUCUGGGCAGUACAUCCAUAUUUAUAGAGAAGGCAUAGGCUAGGGCUAGCGUUACGUGGUCGGUUCUUUCCUUCCACGGCGUGCUCUAGAAUUUGCAGAUCCUCCAGGCAGAGGCGGAUGUAUUCCAGCCGAGUGCAGUCCCAAAAUUUUGUCCUAUAUAUAUAUUACAUAUAUUUAACUUAAUAUCUACAUAGUUCAAUUUUAGCCCAGUCCAACUUCAAGAAAAAAAAUAAAAAAUCUUUCAACAUAAAAAUAAAAAUUAGUUUAUUCUUGUAGAAGAUAGAUUAUUUUUUAAAAAAAAAAAAUAUAUAUAUAUAUAUAUAUAUAUAUAGAUGAAAUUUUUUAUAUUCUUUCAACUAUAAUUGUACAAUUUGCAGUGGUACUUUAGUAUAUAUUAUUGAAUCAAUAAAAAGAGAAUAAUUAUUUAUUAUAGUCGGUGAUCGAAUUUUAAAUUUUAAUCCUAAGUCCAUUAAAAUUCUACUUACACAUAAAAAUGAAUUGUAUAGACUGCCCAAAAAAUUUGGCUCGGGGGCGGUAGCCCCCGAACUCCCGUUCAAUACCUUCGAGUUCAGCCCCCCUAUCGACAAAUCUUGGAUCCGCCCCUGCCUCCAGGGUUGGCAAGAAAUCGUGCAUGGAAGGUAAGAGAUCUCAUUCCUUUUCUGGACCCGUGGGCAGAUGUACCUUGCCUUUGUCUGUGUAUGCCAACUAUGCCCAUAUGCAAACUUCUCUCUUUGCCUCCUUUCUUUGCCUUAGUUUCCUCGUUCUCUGGUCACGUCCUGACUUCUGGGCAUUUCGCCCAAACACGACCUGAUCCUGCACGGUACUCGAUAUGGGCAAAGCGUUGGCUUUGCCUCUAUAUGAACUCGGGUAAUUGCCUCUCUUGCGGAAUGGAGCUUGUUCUGCCCCUGUACGGCCCUACACACUCAUGUGUCCAAAGUAUGCCCUCCCAAGCACAGACACACACAAAAACAUCCAAAAAGAUUCGAUCUAGACCUAAAAACGAACACAAAAGAACACGAAAAAUGGGCUCGUCAGCCGCUUCGCAGGCGGGUAACUUUUCUUCAUUAGGGAUAAGCUCGAGCGGCUAUGGUGCAACCCAGUUUGAGACGCUGGAAGAUUAUCCAGCCAUUUGCAGCAGCUCUGGCCAUACGCUGCAUCUCCACCAUUAUUUUUACCCAGGAAAGUGAAGAAUUCUUAGUUUUUCCUCAUCGAUAAGAUUAAAUUUGAUGUAUUACAUGAGAUGGGUUGCUCUAUAUUCAUAUACAUUGAUGUCGAUCUUUAUUUGUCGCUAAAAUGUAGUAACUCCGGCAGGGGUCACCACCACUGUUCGACUUCAAUGAGAAGUAGGGCUCUUCCUCAACAAUUUUUCUAAGCUCCAACAAGUAGCAGACUCCGUCACCGUUGUACGAUGUCUAAUCGAAGUGUCACGACUCGAUUGAACAAGGCAGCUUGUUCUUCCCCUCCCUAAGCUAAGUUUGCUACCUGCUAAGUGUUUGAUGCUUCUAUGCUCUGAUGUGGGAUCUUGAUAUAAUUACCUUGAUUCUUGAUUUGCUUGGUGUGGGUUGCUGCUAUUGCUAAUCUUAAUGAGCUCAAGAUUUCAUCAUUUUCUUUUAAGGAAUUGAAUGGCAGAACUCUGCUGAAAUGUGGGACGAACUGUCUCAUAACCUGAUGAAGUUUGGGUUAUCAAUGAGUCCCUUGACUUUUUCUAGGAUCUGUAGCACUGUUCUUGAUUUAUAUCAGCAUCUGCGCACUGAGCUAAAACUUCAGCCUAAAGCUUUCUUUGCUUGUGUGAUCUUGAGAUUUGCACAAAAUCGAUAUAAAGCUUUAUACUAGCAGCACGAAGUUGUAAUGGAGACACUAGUUGAUUUUUGUAAGCAGAAAACCUUCAUAGUAGAUAUGUAUCUCGAAUUUGGAUUGAUUUUUUUUUUACAGUAACCAAGUUUCAUUCAUGAACAGUCUUCGGAAACAACAUCAGCUAACCAAGCCGGAAAAUCACAGGUCCAACAAGAGGGUUGAGUUAAAGUUCGCGAAAAUUGAGCGAGACAAUGAGCGGCCCUAUUAGCCUCUCGAAAGGUGUGGUAAACUCCCACUAAGAUGCAUUCUCUCGAGCUCUGGAGCAUUUCCACGAUAUCAUCCGGCAACAGCCCCUUCUCCUGCUCCGGAUCCGCCAUGAUACGAGCAGUCAAAAGAGAAUCGGUGUGUAUCUCAAUAGGCAUAACGCCAUGCUCAAUACUCACCACAAGACCUUGAAUCACAGCCAUAAGCUCCGCAAACACAGUGUUCGAGCUGGGUUUCAUUGGCUUGGACACAGCCACAUGGACCGCCCCGUUCCUGUCACGAAUAAUGAUCCCCACGCCAAACUGAUUGGUCUCUCCGUCGAAGAGAGCAUCAACAUCCACGCGAAAACAGCCAAGCUGCGGCCCCUUCCAUUUCUUCCCACCCAAUUUAACCCCCAUCAACCGCUCCGGAAGGAAAGUAGGCUUCGCCGCCUGGUAAGAAUUCCAGAACGCAGCUGCAUCCAGCUCUUGCGGCGCCUCAGUCUUAAAAUCAUCGCCAUGCACACGUCCACAGAAAAAACUCCAAGCUUUCCAUAACAUCAAAGCCCAAAGUUCAUAAUCUGCCUUAUCAAACUCAUUAUAGAUCAUCAAGGCAAUCUCCCACAGUGUCAAAUGUUGAGCAUUUGCCAAAAACUUCCAGAAUCGCGACCUCUUCCAUGAGCAUCUCAGCAGCGGGCAGAAAAUAACUGAGUGCUCGGUAGUUCCCCAUCGAUCGUGGCAGAAGUUACAAAUCCCAUCAGUAGGAACAUGGUGGUCUUUGAGAUUGGCAUUCGAAGGAAUGAGAUUAGACAAAGCCCUCCAAAGAAAAAGCCGGACUUUCGGCGGGACCGAAAGGCUCCAUACCAACUUAUUCCACACCUUUCUAUCCACAAAGCUUCGGCUUUCGUUCUGCUUAUAAUAAUUCCGUUCAGCAAGAUAUGCCGUCUUGACUGAGAAAUUACCUUUCGGUUCAAACUUCCAAGAGAUACGAUCGACCAAACCAUGCUCGCCAAUAGGGGUCUUUCGCACAAAAUUAACUUCAAAAGGCCAAAGAAUCUCUUCCAGCUUGGGGACAUCCCAGUCACCACUCUGAAGAAUGCAGUUGUCGAGUGUCAAAUUUGCAAAGGAUUGCGUAUUCUUUCCAACAAGUUUUCCAGAUGCCAAAUCAGUCACCCAUGGAUCUUGGAAGACCUUAAUAUUCUUCCCAUUGCCCACUUUCCAGAUCAUGCCCUUCUUGAUCACUUCUCUGCUCCAAGCAAGUGAUCUCCAAACAAACGAGGCGUUAGAACUAACUGGCGCAGUCAAGAUAUCGCCAUGCUUAAAAUAUUUGGCUUGAAAAACUCGAGCCACAAGCGAGGUUGGGUUUUGCAUCAUCCUCCAAAUCGUUUGGCAACAAGCGCUUUAUUAAAAUCUUUGAGGUGCCUAAAACCCAUGCCUCUUUCUUCCUUCGGCCGACACAAAGAAUCCCAUCGUUUCCAAUGCAUUCGUCUUUUAUCAUCUUUGUCUCCCCACCAAAAACAAGCACAAAUGCGAUGAAUGUCGUCACAAAUCGAAUCCGGGAGACGGAAACAUUGCAUAGCAUAGAUAGGCAUCGACUGAAUCACGGCCUUGAUGAGGAUUUCCUUCCCGCCACCCGAAAAAUCACGUUGGUUCCAACAAAGAAGUUUNUUUUGAAUUUUGUCGAUCAGGUAACCAAACUGAACCUUUUUUUGACGGAUAGAGAACACCGGAAGCCCAAGGUAUUUCUGCACGCUUUGACCAAUCUGAACAUGAAGAACCCCCUGCACUUCAGUCACUAGGCGGUCAUGAGUGUUAGGGCUAAAAGAGAUAUUAGACUUGUCAAAAUUAACCAGCUGCCCGGAAGCUCUCUCAUAGGAAGUGAUGAUAUCUUUAAUGGCUGAAGCUUUGCGGCCCAUUGCUUGAAAGAAAAUCAAGCAGUCGUCGGCAAAAAACAAGUGAGUAAUAUUGAGCUGCUUCGGUAUAAUGGGGACACCAUGGAUAAGCGAUCUCUUUUCAUAAUGGUGAAAGAGAGAUGAGAAACCUUGAGCACACAGAACAAACAAAAAAGGCGAGAGAGGGUCACCUUGCCGAAGGCCUCUCCCAGGCUUAAUAUCACCAAACACGCACCUGUUAAGAAGGAAAGAAUAUGAGACCGAGGUCACGCACCUCAUGAUGAGUUUGUAGAAAACCUCGGGGAACUCCAUCUUUUUCAAAACAGCCUCAAGAUAGCUCCAUUCAACUCUAUCAAAAGCCUUCCGCAUAUCAAGUUUCAGAGCAGCAAACCCUUUGUCGCCUUUCUUCCGCGCUCGGAGCCAGUGUUGGCACUCAAAACUGAUAAGGACAUUGUCGGUUAUUGAUCUCCCUUUGAUGAAAGCACUUUGGUUUUGGUCAAUAACCCAUCCCAAAACAAGCCGCAAUCGAUUCACAAUAGCUUUGGAAACGAUCUUGUAUGUGGUAUUACACCUACUAAUAGGGCGAAAGUCACCAACAUUCUCUGGCUUAUAAGUUUUUGGAAUAAGGGCAAUAAUAAUAUGGUUCCAAUCAUUGAUAGCAGCUCCUUUGUUAAGAAUAUCCAGCACCUGUUUCGUAAUGAAAUCACCAACAGCUGGCCAGAACCGCUGAUAAAAUCGGGCGUUGAAACCAUCGGGUCCCGGGGCCUUUGUUGGAUGCAUGUCAAAAAUAGCCCUUCUGACCUCGUCAGCUGUAAAAGGUCUCAUAAGACUAUCGGCAUCGUCGCGGCUCACUCGCUCUUCAAUCGUUCCCGUUGUCUUCUCAAUAUCCCUACGAGAAGGACAACACGAUUCAAAAAGUUCCUUGAAGUAGGUAUCAAUAAUUUGCGCCUUCUCUUCCUCUUUUUCUUUCAACUCCCCGUUUUUGUUUCUCAACAUUUUAAUAGUAUUCUUCUUCCUUCUCUUUGAGGCUUGUGCAUGGAAAGCCCCUGAAUUCCGAUCCCCGUUAGCAAGCCAGUUGACACGGGCACGUUGCUUCCAGUGACAAGCGUCAGCCUCAACCGCUCUCUCAAUCUUUGCGGUGAUCUCCACAAUAUCCAAAUGGGAUGUUUUAUUUCCUACUUCACUCAUGAGCUUGUUCCUCGCUUUCCGGAGUCUUGUAACCUCUUUGCCCGCUUUAUCAAAAUUUUUUGCUGCCCAUUUCGAAAAGAAAGCUUCACACCUAGCCAUCUUGGUUGGCAGCUCCGUAACAUGCCGAAUUGCCGCCCACUCACAAAGGAAAUCUGGCACAAAGCUCUUAUCCAUAAACCAUUUGUCCUAAAAAAAGAACCUAUUUCGCCCGAAGCUAGUAGGAGGCUGCCGUGACUCUUGAAUAUUGCAGACAAUCGGCCUGUGGUCAGAUCCGUGGAAGUCAAGAAUUGUAAGAUCAGAAUCAGGAAACUUCAUCUGCCACUCUCGAUUUCCCACGUAUCGAUCGAGGCGCUCAAAAAUCGGGUUCCCAUCCUUAUUAAAAAAACCAAGUGUAUUCGUCAUUCACUGCCCCAAAGUCAAAAAGGCGGCUGUACAUAAGGGAGUUCCGAAAUGCCUCCAUCUGACCCGCAGGCCUAAUUCUCCCACCUUUCUUCUCGGCCACGGUGAGAAUCUCAUUGAAGUCACCCCCAACUAACCAUGGCAGCCCUUCCUCAAACACAAUAUCGCUCAAUCUCUUGAGCAAAUCCCAUGAGAAUUUCCGUUUGUCAGUUACCGGGUUGCCAUAGAAUCCCGUAAACCGGAAGCGCUUUUCACCUUUAGUUACAAUACAAUCGAUAUGUCCCUUAGAGUAUGACAUAAUCUGAACCACACACGGAUCCCUCCACAAAAGAACUAAUCCACCACUCUUACCAAUGGCAUCCACCACAAAGACACCAUCAUAACCCAACAUACUUCUCCAUCUCGUGCAUUUAUAAGUAACGAGCCUUGUCUCGCACACAAAAACAAGGUCCGGGGAAGAGCCCGCAAGAAGGCUCCGAAAUUCAUGGAACGCACGAGUAUUUCCCAGCCCCCGCGCGUUCCAGCAAAGGCUAAUCAUUGCUCUUGGCGGGGCUGCACUGCAGCCUCCGCCAUAAAAAGGUGUUCACGGGUUCCCUCAAUUUUACGCAAAGUUUUCAUUCUAAGGUUCGGGCCAUCAACAAUCUCCAGAUCCUCUGUUGCCCCUCGCUUUUUUCCAGCCUUAGGAUCCAUGACAUUCUGUUCUUCACUCCAUUCCUUCUGACCAGGAGAGUUCCUAGCCCUCCGUUUCCAUCCCUUGCUUUGUGGUGUUAAUUUCUUCUUUCUCGGUGGAAUUAUAAAGUUAGUGAUCGGCGACAUUCCACAUUUUGGUUCACCCGCUUCGCCUCCUUUCCUAACAAAACCCUGUUCUUCCCUCACCACCCCUGCGACUUCUAACUCCAAGUCUCGCAGACCCCCUUUAUGAAUAUCCUCAUCAGUCGCCUCACUCAUGCAGACUUCCCCGUCUUUCUCACCUUCAUCUUUUUCCACACCCUCAUCUCUCCCCUGUUCCCUGCCUGCCUUAAUAAUGACAACCGCCUCUCCCUUGUUUGUCUGAUCCCCUUCAACCGACCUCUUACGAGUGGAAGUAACAACCACAGCCAAAGUGUUGGUGUCUCCAGUAGGGGUUGAGUCGAUUGUCAUUUGUUCCUCAAGGUGUUGCUUCCCUGGUCUCUUGUUAGAAAUCUGAAUUCCUCCAAAAGGUGGUUCUCCUCUGGGAGGGGGUCUGGGUCCCUGGGGGUUAGCACGUGGCAGAAAACGAUUCUCCAAGGUUCCACCCGAUCGUCUGUAGUCUAGGCUUUUACGCGCUCGCAGCCAAAAACCAUACGACGGUUUUUCCUUCUGAUCAUUUGUGGCCUCACAACGUUUAAUGUGAUGCCCUAUUUUGCCACAAGCAAAACAAAAAAGGUCAGGAAGUUUUUCAUACAAAAUAAGGACCAUCGUCGGCUCUUUGUCGCCCUCUGUUUCGAUCGGAACCCCUUGGAUCAAGGGUUUCUCAAUCGGUCGUGUUAUCCGGACUCGCGCAAACUUCCCCAAACAUCUCCCUCCCUCUCCAGACUCAACCUCAUCAACUGUUCCAACCUGCUCGUCUAUUCUCUUAACCACCUCCUUAUUCAUACAUGCUAUUGGGAGUUUGUGCAAUUGUAUCCACAUCGUGAUUGUAUUGAAUUCGAUCGUGGCUGCCGAGUGCAUGGAGUCUGGUUUGCGGAGCAGAAUCAGAUCAUUGAAAAUGUGCCAAGGUCCUUCCGUGAGGAUCCGAUCAAUAUCUGCAUCCAGAUCGAGGUAUAGGGCAAAAAUGUUAAAACCUAUCAGUUCAAUGUCUGAGUGGCCCCGUAAUUGCAGAAUCGCCGGAAUUUUAUCGCGCAAUAGUUCACGGGGGUGUUGUCGAUCGGCAAAGAUUUUACAGAUCAGCAUCUUCGACGCUUGUUUCGAACCUGAAGCUUUCUCUCUCUCAGAUAAGGAGAUAGGCUUUGAUUGAGUUUUCGAUGCAAGUUUCAGUGCUGCUAUCCUUCUCACAAUUUCAUCCGGGUCCAUCGUUGGCCAGUAAAACUCCGACAACAGUCACACUUCGCCUUCAAAACAAAGGGGAGACUCCUUUCCCAGAAGAAAGAACGCUGCACUCUCGAAGCCCUAGCCUCUGGGGGUUAAGGUUUCAGAGGAAAAGGUUUCGAAUUUGGAUUGAUUUUGAUUGAGGUGCCUGAUGAUUUAUCAAUUUGGGGAUGAAUUUGUAUUAGUUUUACUAGUCUAAAGAUUGUCUCGUACUUUGAGAAAUCAUAUUUCAUAGAAUAGUUUGGGACUUAAUUCAAAACUACUAAAGAUUGUAUGCUACUUGCAAUACUCAUCAAAUACUAAUAAAUCAGAUGUGGCAUUUCAGUGAAGCAAUUGUAUUCUACUAUUUCAUUGGGACAUGCGAUGUGUUAUGAUAUUCUGCAUUUUGUUGAUUAGCUUCAUGAAGAGAUGUGAAUAAGGUUAGGGAGUGAAAAUGGGUGGAGUGAUUUAGAUAAUAUUUUGGCAAAGUCUAUUAUGAUUGAAGCUACUGUUACCCUCAGACAAUGACCAAUCUAUGAAUUUUAUUUAAAUUUGACUUGCAUAAUUUAUGUGCUCCUUCAUUUUUCGAUCAGUUAUCCAAUUUUCUUUCUAAGAAAUUAUCACAUAUUGAUUUAGCGAAACUGACGGUUCACGGCCCUAUCUCAAGGGGCUCACGUAUUUUAACUAAUAUUUGUACUUAAGAGUUCUUACAGCACAUGAUAAAUAGAUUUUGGAAAAGUAUUCGAACGAAUAUGAUAAACACCAUAACAUGAAAAGGUAACACGUUAACCAGUGGCGACUCAGGUACUUCGCUGAACUAAAGUUUAUCACUAUAUUAUCUCAUUGAAGCAUGUGAGCAUGAUGAGAAAAUAGUAACCUCGACAUUUGGGCCAAACCAUGACUUAUAUUAUCCUUGAUGAGACUAAUGAAAUUAUAACAUUGUCUUGAAAGCUGCACAACUCCUGCAUAUGUGCCUAUACUUGAAACAUGAAUUGAUUAGUACGAAGCUGCACACCUUUUGCAUAUGUGCUAAGAUUUAAAACACGAUUUGAAUUAUCUUACUUGGGGAUCAUAGUUACGCCAGCCUUGUCACAAUCAUCAAAAGUAUUAAAAUCAACCACACAUAUACACAUAACAUAUUUAUUCGAAUCAUGCACAUGUUACCAGGGGAGGGAGUAAGGUAUAUACCCUUAUUGGCAUUCAUUCGAAAAAAUUUCAAAUCGGGAAUGAUAAUUUACAGCACUUGAGAACCUACUUCGGCAGAAGUGUAAGCAGCAUAGUGGAGAAAUACUGUUGUCGCAUAUACUUAAGCCCAUCGCGGGAAGAACACUGCUCUUGCAAACAUUUAAGCCCAUCAUGGGAAAUACUGCUCUCGCAGAUACCUAAGCACAUCGCGGGAAAUACUGCUCUCGUAGUCACCUAAGCCCAUCGCGGGAAAUACUUCUCUCGCAUACAUCUAAUGUAGGAAUAUCUAAGCCGCAUAGCAAAAAAUAUUGCUCUUGAAGAUAUCUAAGCCGUUUUCAGAAUGCCUAAGUUGUUUACAGUGCAGAAUGUCUUAAGCCAUUUUCAGUGUAUCUGAGCCGUUUUCAGCUAAGCAGUGUUCAGUUCAGAAUAUCCCAGCAGUGUUCAGCACGGAAUAUCUCAGUCGUGUUCAACACAGAAUAUCUAAGUCGUGUUCAGAUCAUAAUAUCUAAUCCAUGUUCAAAUCAGAAUAUCUAAGUUGUGUUCAACUCAGAAUGUCUAAGUAGUUUUCAAUGCAGGAAGUCUAAACCACUCUCAGCUUUGACAAGAUUGCAUACUACUUCGACAUCUUCUUAUGAUGGUUUUCUUGUUCGUCCAUCACAAAGUAUUUAUAUUGCUCAUUUCUGCAAGACAUUUAAUAUGUGGUAUUAGCACUGGCUUUCUUAUGCGCCCAAUAAAAUGAAAGUCGAUCAUAUUUGACAACAUUCAAGAAUCAAAGAAGAAAUCAAGUAUGCAACCACAACUCCAAAAUCAAGGAAAAAUUCUUAUCUUUGAUUAUUGGCAGCACUGAAAAUUCUUAUGUGUUGAUAAUUUGCAGGACUAGCAUAUUUUGUCUUUACAGUUUUGCAAAAACUGACGCUUUUUAUCUCUGAUGAGUUUUGACCCUCCAACCUUUGUUUGUGGGCAUCGCUGAAAUGCUUGGUCUUUUACUGUGAAGUAUUUUGAAUGUGUCAUGUUAUAGAGUGAAAACAUCUCGUCUUAAAUGAAUUGCAGGGCUAUAAUACCUUGUUUAUUUAACUGACUUGAGAGAGCGGCACAACGCUGGCUCUAACAACACUUUAUUGGUUGAACACGAAGAAGACCUGGCUCAACCAGACCAGAGGGAGUAGCUAAUGAGGACUAAAUUGUGUACCAGCGUUGUGCUUAACAGUGCUGGAAUAUUUCUCUUAAUUAUUAUUAUUAUAAAAUUUUAUUAUUACUGUUAUCUUGAAUAUUUAGUGCAGUGCUGACUUAACAUGGCUUACUUUAUUAAUCGAGAAUUAUCUUAGCGGCUUAACCCAGCUCUCGCCUUGGCAAUCUAACCUUGGCUCCCAGCUUGGACAAUUCGACGUUACUUCAUCUCGGAUAUCUUAACGUUGACUAUUCAGUGCUGACUAAUGUAAUAGUGGCUUAGGCCCAUCUACUUGAAUUAAUAGGCCUAAGGGCUUUAGGUUUACUUUAAUGCAUAUAAAUAGAAGCUUGAUGAUUAGAUUGAGGAGCCUCCUUCAUUUUCUUAGCUCAUAAUGUAAAGUAUAACACUCAAGCAUAGUGAAAAAUCCUGUGGACGUAGAUCUUAUGAUCGAACCACGUAAAAGCCUCACGUCGUUUAUCGUUUUCCUUCAACCCGUUAAUUCUUGUUACAUCAAUGCCAUUGUAACAUUCAUUAUCAAUUGUUGAUUCAAAAUUAUCAAUAUAUAAGUAUGAUAUGCCAUUUAUACAUAUCAUUUUUAGAAAGUAUAUAUGAAAAAUAAUUGAAAAUAAAAGUUACUAAUUAUAGUAAUAUGUAGCCGUUAUUAUAUUACAUAGAUAUAGAUUAUAGUGGCUUGAUUAAUCUUAAAUGUUCAAAAUUUCUUUUAUACUUGUUGACUAAAUGUUCAUGAAAGAAAGAAUAAAUAAAUACAUAUAUUUAAAAUUCAUAUAUGAUCAUAAAUCUUAUCUAUAUUAAUAUUUUGAUAAUUUUAUUGAUGUUUAUUAACUAUUUUAUAUACAUUUACCGAAUAUUUUAUGAUUAUUUUAGACAAAAACACGUUAUUACAUAGUAAUUAAUUAAAAAAAAUAUGUUAUUACAUACUCCCUCCAUCUUAUAAAACAUGAACAAUUGGGAGUGGAACGAGUCUUAAGAAAUGUUAGUUGAGAGUUAUUAUGAGCUGAAAAUGAGUCCUACUUCAUAAAGUGUUAUGAAAGUAAUGAGUUAAUUGAGGAAAAGUAUUGUAAUGGGUAAAAUCCGUAUAAGCCGAAACUAUACGGCCCAACGCAGCUCGAAACGCCCAGCUCGUCUCGGCAGACAGAGCAGCAAGAGCUCAGAGGCCAGAGCAGAGCAGCUCAGAGGUCAGAGCAGCACAGCUCAGAGGCCAGAGCAGAGCAACUCGGAGGCCAGAGCGUCGGCAUAGCCCGGAGGUACGUGCAACAGCGCAGCCCUGCCCGGAAGCGCUCGACUGCGCAGCGCAGCUGGGCAGCGUAACAGCGCAGCCCUGCGGCGCAUGCCGCACCCUGUCAUGAGUUAUAAUGGGUAAAAUCCGUAUAAGCCGAAACUAUAAGGCCCAACGCAGCCACAGGCGCCCAGCUCGUCUCGGCAGACAGAGCAGCAAGAGCUCAGAGGCCAGAGCAGCACAGCUCGAAGGCCAGAGCAGAGCAGCUUGGAAGCCAGAGCAGAUCAGCUCGGAGGCUAGAACGUCGGCGCAGCCCGGAGGCACGCACGUCAGCGCAGCCCGGAGGCUCGCGCAACAGCACAGCCCUGCCCGGAAGCGCUCGACUGUCCAAUGCAGCCCUGUCCGGCAGCGCUCGACUGCCCAGCGCAGCUCUGACCGGCAGCGCUCGACUGCCCAGCACAGCCCUGACCGGCAGCGCUCGACUGUCCAGCGCAGCCCUGACCGGCAGCGCUCGAUUGCCCAGCGCAGCCUUGUCCGGAAGCGCUUGACUGCGCAGCGCAGCCCUGAGGCACGCGCAACAGCGAGCCCUGCCCGGAACCUGGACUGCGCAGCGCAGCCCUGAGGCACGCACAACAGCGCAGCCUUGCGGCGCAUGCCGCACCCUAUCAUUCUAAUGGGUAAAAUUUGUAUAAGCCGAAACUAUACGGCCUAACGGGCCUGCCCGGUAAAACGAUCCAUACCACAUUCAUAGCAUAAGGUCCAAAGUAGGCCCAUAUGCGGGAAAUACGUGAACCCACUAGGAAAAACCCUAAACUUAACAGUUACUUGGUGACUAGGUCAGACGAGAGUCACGGAAGAUCGUUUCCUAAGAAGUCGGAACCGCUAGGGUUUCAAUGAGCAUUCCAACAAACCCUAACCCUAGUCGCCCCGUAACCUAUAUAUACUAAUUCACUAACGCAAUCAUGGUAUCCGCAACCACUCGUAUUCACUCUUACACUCGCACACGAUCUCUCACUCUCGUUAUCUCCCGCUCUCCCCGCUCUUCUGUUCCGCCUCCACGCUCACAACUCUCAAGGGUUCUGAUCGCUCGACUAGCCCUGCUAGCCCGGACGUCCGUCGCCCCUUAUUCCACAUCGCUCAAUAGCUUUGACUCCGGCCAGCGGGACACCCUGAUCAUCCGGAGAACACUCUUAUUACUAUCUAUUUCCUAUAAUUUAUUUAUUUUAUUACGUUACUCACGUCUGUUAUUUAUAUCAAUUCACUGACUUGAGCGUCGGAGGCCCUUCCAUCGACACCUCCACCGGUGCUCAUCGAAGGACUCUAACGUUGCUUGUGGUUUCAGGUUGCUAGUGCACGUCGAUCCAAACGUGACUGACGUCACUUCCGUAAUUAUCGGAUUCACCCCCAAUAAUUUGGCGCCCACCGUGGGGCCCUAGCAAUCAAAGAAUUCCGACAAGCCGUGCCUAAAUUACACCAUGAGUACUCCGAAUGAUGCACACGACCCGAACAAUGCCUCAAACCAAUUGGGUUCAACCCAAUCGGAGUUGCUUGCCCAAGUGGAGGUGAAUGCCCGAAAAAACAAAAUGCUGAACUACUCGCUCGGUUGAAUGCUUUCACCCAGAUCCAGACGCCUCCUCAGAUCCAAACACUUCGUACUAACCGAUUCCGAGUUCCUGUCAACCCCAUGGUGGACAUAGAUGAUAUCCUGCUCACACCCCAUGGAACUGAGAUCAACCCAGAUGACCCUUCAUCAUCGGUAAGAAAUAAUAGAUCGGAGACUAUCCAUCCUAACCUGGGUACCCUUCUUGUGAAUGCAGGUGAAACACGUACCCUAGAUCAGACGCCCGGAACAACCGAGACAAACGUAAUGGGUGCCCUCACCUAGGCCAACCUGGCGACUGGGGAAAUGGACCAGUCUACCUCGAUAGGCCAGACCGAUAUCGCCCAUGGGCAUGUAGUGCCAACAGGACCACACGAAGAUGCUCUCAUGCGUGACGCCCCAACGGGUCAACCAGAUGGACCAAGGCGAACAGUUCCAAUCGGUCAGAAUGGCAGCACUCAAGAUCAACCACCUCCUGGCGAUCAGGGCCGACAUGGCAUGCCCAGCACCCACCAGAACUUGGACCCCGCUUUGGCUAGAAGGUUGGCGGAUAUGGACGCCAUCAUUCAACGAAUCCCAGGAGUUCCGGCUCCGAUAAAGAAAAGUGCAUAGAGUUGUUACGCCGACUCUCCUUUCGUGGAUGAGAUAGCUUUGGUGGAGAUGCCCAGAAAAUUCAGCUUUCCACACAUGAAGAUGUUUGACGGCGCAUCCAACCCAGACGACCAUAUAGCUCAGUACCGUCAAAGAAUGUUCACCGUUGCUAUCCCUCGUGACAUGAGGGAGGCGUGCAUGUGUAAGAGGUUCGGUUCUAGCCUAAUAGGACCAGCCCUCCAGUGGUAUACGAAUCUUCCUAAUAAUUCAAUUAGUUCUUUUGCUAAACUAACAGAUGUUAUUGUUGAACAGUACGCAAGCAGCAGGAAAUUAGAAAAAAAUCUCAGAAGACUUGUACGCCAUUGUCCAAAGGCAUGGCGAACCUCUUCGGGACUACAUCGGGCGCUUCAACAAAGAGAAAGUGUCAAUCACCAACUGCAGCGAACAAACCGCUAUCACGGCCUUCCGUAAGGGCCUUCUGCCAGGGUCGGACUUAUACAAGACACUUACUAAGUAUCCAUGCAAGACUAUGGAAGAUGUGUUGGUCCAGGCUUGGGCUCAAAUUAAGUGGGAAGAGGACCAGUACAACAUGCAGAGAGUCUUCCCGCCAGAGAGACCCGAAAGAUACUACAGGGUCCAUAGGAGGACCGGUCGUGACAAUCGUGACAGACGAACCGAGCCCUACACGCCAUCUCAUAGAGGAAACAAAGGGAAAAGAGAUACAGAAAAUGAGGGAUAAAAAAUAAGGAGAUAGCGUACAAGAAUGGAAAUAUUCAUGUUUUUGUGAGACGCCCCAAAAUGACAAAUUAUUCAUAUUUUUGUGAGACGAAGGGAGUUCUUAAUAUGAUCAUUUAGGGUAGAGUUAGGAUACAAACUCAUUUUAAAAUAAAAACUACAAACCAUGAAAAUGUAACAAAUUCUAUGAGUAGAAAAGAUUAUUGCCUCCAUCCCAUAAAUAAUGGCUUAUUUCUUUUGGGCACGAAGAUUAAGGAGUGUUUAAUUAAGGUGAUAAAGUUGGUGGACCACAUAUUUAAGCAUUAAAUUAGUAAAAAUUGUGUACGUGUGUUGGCCUAAUGGUAUAAAGUUAAUGCCUAAGAUCUGAGCUCCUGUGUUAAAUCAUUAGCUGCGCGGUCUUUAAAAUUUAUUUAUUUACUUUAUAAUUUAACCCAAAAAAAUUAGUAAAAGUAAUUGUGAGUUAAUGAAAAAGUGGUGGCCCAUUUUUUACUUUAAUUGCAACUUGAACAUACCUCUACUUUAAGUUAUAAAUCUGCCAAAAUUCAAACAUGUUGCGAAUUUUAACAUCUCAUAAAAAGAAUCACUUGAAUCAUUGAUGUUUUUUCAUUUCAAAAAGUGAGCAAAAAUUUCUAUCAUCUCAAUACUCCAAUAAAUCCAUCAGCCACAUCACAAGAACAUGCAAUAAUCAGAAAGGUAGGGACCCAACAACAUGCAAUAAUAUGAAAAUCCAUCACCCAUAGUACAAGAACACAGUAAAAUGGUAGAUCUUACCCAAAAAAAAGUCGAUAGCAGGAUCUUCAACAUAGAAAUGAGCAGGUGUAUAAGCCACCAACCAAUCUUCGGAAACAACUUCGUCCCAAGAUUCCUCACAUAGUAAAGAACAUGAAUUAAAGAUAGAAACAACAGAUACAAAAGAACUGUUUGUAACCAGAGGAGAGAUGGUACUCCUUACAUGGAUUUGGGAGGGGCGACGAUAGAUCGAAGCCCUAGCCACGAGUGAAGCCCAAGCGAAUCCGGAGCUCUACCAUAUUCAAACGUAGCUUCAAUCUUGUCCAAGCCGAGGGAGGCCUCUCUAGAGUCUGAUAAAGGCAGUGACCAUGGGAAAUCAAGCUCCGGCACCGAGCCAUCACUGCAGCGCAAGAUUGAACGAAGAAGAAACGGCGACAGAGUAUUUUGGCCGCGAUAGAACAAAUUGGGGCAGAGGAUUAGGGUCGCGAUAGCAAGAGAGAUAGAGCGGUGCAAGACGAGAGACACAAGGCGACGCACGGUGGAAGAUCACCGAUUAGAUUUUCGGAGGAGAAAUAUAGAGCAGCGCAAGAGGAGAGAGCCACGUGUGGAGAUAGAUAGAGAGAGGCGUGGGUGGAAUUAGGGUUAGAGUAAAAAAAAUGGUUUAAAUA